rnacentral:rRNA from 1 species
GUUAGAAAUGCUAUCACUCUGAACGCACCCGAUCUCGUCUGAUCUCAGAAGCUAAGCAGGGUCGGUCCUGGUUAGUACUUGGAUGGGAGAAAUGCUAUCAGUUUCUCAGU